UACGUAGGGUGCAAGCGUUGUCCGGAAUUAUUGGGCGUAAAGAGCUCGUAGGCGGUCUGUCACGUCGGCUGUGAAAACCCGGGGCUCAACCCCGGGCCUGCAGUCGAUACGGGCAGACUAGAGUGCGGUAGGGGAGACUGGAAUUCCUGGUGUAGCGGUGAAAUGCGCAGAUAUCAGGAGGAACACCGGUGGCGAAGGCGGGUCUCUGGGCAGUAACUGACGCUGAGGAGCGAAAGCAUGGGGAGCGAACAGG
rnacentral:rRNA from 1 species